ensembl:lncRNA
GUGCCAUUUGUAUUCCUUUUGAAAAAAUCAGAGCCAUAAACUAAGAUAAAGGUUUAACCCAACCUUCUUGGUAGUAACCCAGCAACUGGGUCAAAACAACCCAAUAGCUGGGUUUGUCCAUAUUUUACGCACCACUGGGUUUGUAUUUUUUAUAGUGUAUGUUUAAUACAUCUUGCAGAAUUGCACCUAUUUCCCCCUACAAUCUGCAUAGAAAAUAUAGUUGUAGUGUAAAUCCUGGUCAAAAGUUCAUAAGUAUGUUCAUUAUGAAACCUGUUUCUACAUGUUGUACUUGUUCACACUCUUUCGCUCUCCUUUUCCCUCCCCCUCUUCCUCUGCUUGACUUAACCGUCACCGAUAUUCCAGCUGGGUCUAAUUUCAGUGGCUUUUUUCACCUGUUAUUAUUAUUUUUAAUCAUAAAUGUUUCCUCUCUUGGUGAUGUUAAUAUCUGGAAAUACACUGAUGAAGCCACAGAACCUUCACAUGUGUUUGCACGCUCCAUGAUUAAGGGCGCCUGGAGUGACUACGACUGGGCCUCAGUGUAUAGAUCGAGAGACGGCCGCCAUGGUGAGCUUUCCAGUAAUAUCUUGGAUAAAUCAGGUGUGAUGGCGGAAUGGAAAAGUUUGGUCCCCGACAUUUUCACCUACUUUUUAAUUCUCUUUCCAAACAUUUUUUUCUACCACUGGGGUUAAUCUUUUCUGCCCUGUUACCAUUCAUUGCUUUUAUUGGCCAAAGGGAAAACGAAUUAAUAACAACUUUCACUCGGAAGGCAUGAAAUAGGAUAUUUCAGCAGUUCAUCUCUCUUUCCUUUUCCAGUAAAAGCACAGGCAAAAACAACCAUUUACUCACCUUCACAGUUUUCACACACACACAAAAAACCCACUCACAUGCUUUUCCAAAUGGCCUGUUCAGUUGUAGGGCCAGUCAGCUUAGCACGCUAGCUGUCCAAACAGAAAAAAAAAAAAAAGAAAUUAAGAAAAAAAUUUUAUUAAAUAAAAAAGAUCCACUGAGAAUCA